GUCUAGUUUGGGUAUCGACAAUUUCCUUUGAGAUAUAUGCGCCUUCGAAUUGCUUUUCCUUAAGAUAAAUAAUGUGUGUUUCGGUGCAACAGUUGCCAGGAAGGAAAUAAGCUGGAGUACUCACAUCAACGGAGUCCGCCAGGUCGGGUUUGUUUUUCACCGCGAAUACCAGAAAAAUACCAUGUUUAAACGAGUUUAAUUUAAAUGAUCGCCGUUAGCCGCGGCCCAAACAAUAGGAAGUUUAUUUUUUGGCAGUGUUCCCAUUAUUGUAGGACUUCACCGACAGAAAGCAAUACCACAACAAGGCAAAUCUGCAGAAUAGUUGAAGUGCUGGAGUGGAACAUGCCGAGUCGGACUUCGGUCCCUACAUGGACAUCCCGCCGGGCGUGUCCUCGCAAAGAAACAGAACCACCAGAACGAUCUCCGGCGAGUUCUCCACUGGGAAACCACAGGACUCCACCUCUAACAGAUACUUCGCAGCUAAAGCGGAAAAGCGGAUGGUUAUGUCAUUACCAGGAUUUUGGACGACUUCCAGCAGCAUCAGGCGGAACAACGCCGUUCCCAAUCCGGCUCCCACUUUCAGGUCCAAUAUGCCUAAUGGGACUCGGAUCUGGACUGCAGAUGAUGCGGGAAAGAUGGCGAAGCAUCCGUAGGACAAGAAGGAAACUGUAAACUAAUAAUUUACAUAAAUAAAAACAUUCGUUGAACAUUCAA